GACGAACGCUGGCGGCGUGCUUAACACAUGCAAGUCGAACGGAAAGUGCUCUUCGGAGUGACUCGAGUGGCGAACGGGUGAGUAACACGUGGGUGAUCUGCCCUGCACUUUGGGAUAAGCCUGGGAAACUGGGUCUAAUACCGAAUAGGACUCCGGAUCGCAUGGUCUGGGGUGGAAAGCUUUUGCGGUGUGGGAUGGGCCCGCGGCCUAUCAGCUUGUUGGUGGGGUGAUGGCCUACCAAGGCGACGACGGGUAGCCGGCCUGAGAGGGUGUCCGGCCACACUGGGACUGAGAUACGGCCCAGACUCCUACGGGAGGCAGCAGUGGGGAAUAUUGCACAAUGGGCGCAAGCCUGAUGCAGCGACGCCGCGUGAGGGAUGACGGCCUUCGGGUUGUAAACCUCUUUCACCAGGGACGAAGCGUAAGUGACGGUACCUGGAGAAGAAGCACCGGCCAACUACGUGCCAGCAGCCGCCGCAG
rnacentral:rRNA from 1 species